UACGUAGGGUGCGAGCGUUGUCCGGAAUUAUUGGGCGUAAAGAGCUCGUAGGCGGUGUGUCGCGUCGGUCGUGAAAACUUGGGGCUUAACCCUGAGCUUGCGGUCGAUACGGGCAUCACUGGAGUUCGGCAGGGGAGACUGGAAUUCCUGGUGUAGCGGUGAAAUGCGCAGAUAUCAGGAGGAACACCGGUGGCGAAGGCGGGUCUCUGGGACGAUACUGACGCUGAGGAGCGAAAGCGUGGGGAGCGAACAGG
rnacentral:rRNA from 1 species